rnacentral:rRNA from 1 species
AGAGUUUGAUCCUGGCUCAGAACGAACGCUGGCGGCGUGGAUAAGACAUGCAAGUCGCACGGAGAAAAGAUAGUUUACUAGCUUUUCUGAGUGGCGCACGGGUGAGUAACACGUGAGCAACCUGCCUCUUAGUGGGGGAUAGCCCUGGGAAACCGGGAUUAAUACCGCAUAUCAUCGCAAGAUGAAAGCAGCAAUGCGCUAAGAGAGGGGCUCGCGGCCUAUUAGUUAGUUGGUGAGGUAACGGCUCACCAAGGCGAUGACGGGUAGCCGGUCUGAGAGGAUGUCCGGCCACACUGGAACUGAGACACGGUCCAGACACCUACGGGUGGCAGCAGUCGAGAAUCAUUCACAAUGGGGGAAACCCUGAUGGUGCGACGCCGCGUGGGGGAAGAAGGUCUUCGGAUUGUAAACCCCUGUCAUGUGGGAGCAAGCUAGCAAUAGUUGAUAGUACCACAAGAGGAAGAGACGGCUAACUCUGUGCCAGCAGCCGCGGUAAUACAGAGGUCUCAAGCGUUGUUCGGAAUCACUGGGCGUAAAGGGUACGUAGGCUGUACCAUAAGUCGGGCGUG